rnacentral:misc_RNA from 1 species
GAAGUGCGAUAAGCAGUGCGAAUUGCAGAACCGUGAGUCAUCAGAUUUUUGAACGCAACUUGCGCCGCCGUGGCUUGCCGCGCGGCACGCCUGGUCCAGUGUCUUAUUUUCUCCUCACCCAAAUCUUAAUGCGAGAGAUACCCUUCUCUUGCCAAGAAUGAAAGCACCCUGCGUUUGCGAGCGACUUCGUGUCGCACUCAAUGCGGUCGUCACAUUCUCGUAAUGUGAACUCAUUGAGGGCCAAUGCAGUGCAGCCUAGCUGCAAGUGCUUAGUCAAGCCAACUUCGGCAUCGUAUCUGGGCUCAGGUGGGACUACCCGCUGAGCUUAA